rfam:Gossypium raimondii chromosome 11, whole genome shotgun sequence.
AUCCUUUUCUCGGCCUUUUUUGCUUAGAUCAAGAGUAGUAUAUGUUUUUAUCAGUUUAAUAUCUGAUACGUCUCCACUGCGUUAUUAUUUGCUCUCUCCUUAUGCAACACCCAUA